rnacentral:rRNA from 1 species
UGGGGAAUAUUGCACAAUGGGCGCAAGCCUGAUGCAGCGACGCCGCGUGGGGGAUGACGGCCUUCGGGUUGUAAACUCCUUUCGCUAGGGACGAAGCUUUUUGUGACGGUACCUAGAUAAGAAGCACCGGCUAACUACGUGCCAGCAGCCGCGGUAAUACGUAGGGUGCGAGCGUUGUCCGGAAUUACUGGGCGUAAAGUGCUCGUAGGUGGUUUGUCGCGUCGUCUGUGAAAUUCCGGGGCUUAACUCCGGGCGUGCAGGCGAUACGGGCAUAACUUGAGUACUGUAGGGGUAACUGGAAUUCCUGGUGUAGCGGUGAAAUGCGCAGAUAUCAGGAGGAACACCGAUGGCGAAGGCAGGUUACUGGGCAGUUACUGACGCUGAGGAGCGAAAGCAUGGGUAGCGAACAGG